rnacentral:lncRNA from 1 species
AUGUUGGAAGAUAUUUUUAAGUUUCCACAUCUUUCUUACUUUUCUAUAUGAAAAUAAAAUGUAAGUAUCACAAUUAAACACAUACGAAAGUUUUUUUUUUAAAUUCAGUUUCAUAAUUACCAAUUUUUAGUGAAUAAUCCUGAAAUUUAUGAAAAUACAUACAUUUUAAGGUUAUGUCAUAAUAUUUUGAUUGUUAUAUUUGUGUUAUAUUUUGUUUUUGUGAUUUUAGUGGACUACACCAACAAAGGUUAUGUGUUUUGCACCAGAUUGAAAGCAUCAUAGCGAAAAACGGACCUGUCAUUUCUUUAAAUUUCCAAAAGAGCCCCUGGAAAAAGAAAAAUUAAUAUCUCUGCUAAGGAAUACUAAGGCAAAUGGAUAAAAAACCUUCAGUCCAUGCAUUGGUAUGUAAUUAAUAUAAUAUUGACAAAAAUACAAUGAAUGGCCUCACUACUUUUCCACAUGCAAAGAGGUUAACCAAGGAGAAAUUAAAGAAAUUGUCAGAAACCUAGGUAAAUACAGAAUUGCUUAGUACAAACUUAUCUAUACCCAGUACAAGUUUGUCCACUUCUUUGAAGCAUGGUACUUUAAACAGAGAAACUGUCAACGAUUUGGUAGAAGGUGAGCCCAUGUCAAAUUCCAGUAAGAGACAUGAUUUCAAUUUUGCACCAACAGCAGAGCCGAAAUUCAUUUUGCUUAUUAAGUUUUGCAAAUUAAGUUUUUCAUAUGAGCAUAUAAAAAAUAUUCAUAACAAAGUUCAGUUGUAUACAGGUUUGACAUGUAAUAAAUAUUUUGUAACCUUAUUUAAUAAUAGUAAUCUUAUAAGUUAAUUAGUUUUAUACAUUAUUUAACUAAUAAUUGUAUAGUUCACAUAGAAUAGAUAGAAAUUAUAUGUACAUAUAUAAAAAAUUUUAUUAAGAUAAGGAGAACAUGUAUUAAAGCAUAACACAUAA